CGGAUUCAAUCCAUCGACCAUCUCGAUAAAACAGAUGAAACAAAUUAUUAUCGAGAUUAUUCAGACUGUUUCAAAGACCCAACAUGCAUUUUUUUUGCAUUGGGCUCUUUCAUAAACUGGUUGAAGGAUCAGUUAGUCCAUCACAAUUCUUCUUUAUGGAAAGAUAAUGAGAUGGCUCCCUGUGAUCUGAUUGACUUUUUUAUUAUGAAAUACUAUAUAUGA
rnacentral:rRNA from 1 species